ACUCCUCGGGAGGCAGCAGUGGGGAAUUUUGGACAAUGGGCGAAAGCCUGAUCCAGCAAUGCCGCGUGUGUGAAGAAGGCCUUCGGGUUGUAAAGUACUUUCAGCGGGGAGGAAGGCGAUAAGGUUAAUAACCUUGUCGAUUGACGUUACCCGCAGAAGAAGCACCGGCUAACUCCGUGCCAGCAGCCGCGGUAAU
rnacentral:rRNA from 1 species